UAAGUACUUCCUCCGUCCAGAAUUAGUUGACGCUCAAACGGAUGUAUCUAGCACUGAAAUACGUCUAGAUACAUCCGUUUGAGCAUCAACUAAUUCCGAACGGAGGGAGUAGAAG
rnacentral:pre_miRNA from 1 species